UGGGGCGGUCUCCUCCCAAAGCGUAACGGAGGAGCACGAAGGUUAGCUAAUCCUGGUCGGACAUCAGGAGGUUAGUGCAAUGGCAUAAGCUAGCUUGACUGCGAGCGUGACGGCGCGAGCAGGUGCGAAAGCAGGUCAUAGUGAUCCGGUGGUUCUGAAUGGAAGGGCCAUCGCUCAACGGAUAAAAGGUACUCCGGGGAUAACAGGCUGAUACCGCCCAAGAGUUCAUAUCGACGGCGGUGUUUGGCACCUCGAUGUCGGCUCAUCACAUCCUGGGGCUGAAGUAGGUCCCAAGGGUAUGGCUGUUCGCCAUUUAAAGUGGUACGCGAGCUGGGUUUAGAACGUCGUGAGACAGUUCGGUCCCUAUCUGCCGUGGGCGCUGGAGAAUUGAGGGGGGCUGCUCCUAGUACGAGAGGACCGGAGUGGACGCAUCACUGGUGUU
rnacentral:rRNA from 1 species